rnacentral:misc_RNA from 1 species
AAACAAAUCCACGUUGACUGACACAUAGUGAAAUGGUGCAGACCAUUGUAACACAGAUUGAAGAUUUAGAGACAAAAAUCAGAGACUGUGAUUCCCGAUUACAAGUCAUUGAUGAUACCCUCCGACUAAAAGAGCUUCAAGAGGCUGAACGACAGAGUUUACAUGAAGAGGAAAAACAGAUUAAAAAGAAGCUUACAGCAUAUGGUAAUUGCCUGUUGUACAAUUUAAAACUAUAUGCCUGUAAAUAUAGUAAAAAGACCAAUGAAUCAAUGAAAUUCUAUCUUUCUUAUUGCAGAGAGUAACUUGAAGGAACUUCGAAAAGAGAACAGGAAAACAAUGCUAAUGUCUGUGUGUUUGGUUGGAAUGAUGUAUUUACUUUAUAGCUGGCUGUGGGGAACUUGACUGUCUUUUAUAUUAGAUUAAUAUGUGAUAAUAUUCUUACAUCAAACAGUCAUUUUAUUGUCAUGCUUUUUACAUAUGUCUAUAUAAAGAAUAAGAAAUUC